UGGGGAAUAUUGCACAAUGGGCGCAAGCCUGAUGCAGCCAUGCCGCGUGUGUGAAGAAGGCCUUCGGGUUGUAAAGCACUUUCAGCGGGGAGGAAGGCGUUAAGGUUAAUAACCUUGGCGAUUGACGUUACCCGCAGAAGAAGCACCGGCUAACUCCGUGCCAGCAGCCGCGGUAAUACGGAGGGUGCAAGCGUUAAUCGGAAUUACUGGGCGUAAAGCGCACGCAGGCGGUCUGUCAAGUCGGAUGUGAAAUCCCCGGGCUCAACCUGGGAACUGCAUUCGAAACUGGAAGGCUAGAGUCUUGUAGAGGGGGGUAGAAUUCCAGGUGUAGCGGUGAAAUGCGUAGAGAUCUGGAGGAAUACCGGUGGCGAAGGCGGCCCCCUGGACAAAGACUGACGCUCAGGUGCGAAGGCGUGGGGAGCAAACAGG
rnacentral:rRNA from 1 species